UAGAGCAACAGCCUUCUAAGCUGUAGGUCUUGGGUUCGACCCCCAACCGGAUCACUA
rnacentral:tRNA from 1 species